rnacentral:tRNA from 1 species
UCCCCCUUAGUUCAGUCGGUAGAACGGCGGACUGUUAAUCCGUAUGUCCGCAGUUCAAGUCUGCGAGGGGCCACCA